CACGGCGCUUAAAGGAAAGUGGCAAUUUUCUCACUUGAAAGAACUUUUGAAACUAAAUGUUAACUUCUUUUACCGAUUUUUCAUAUUUUGCUUAGUUUUUUAACUAUCUCCACUUGAAGUAAUGAGAUGUCCGCCAUCUUGGAUAAACUUUUGAUCUCAAUUAGUAUAGGUAAUCAUGCGAUGGCGAGUAUAAUUAGGGAUUAAUAGUACGUGUUUGGAAAUUUUGCCAAAAUUGGACGAGCCGCCGGGGCGAGUUCAAUUUGGCAAAUUUACAAACAUCACGAGUACUAUUAAUCCCUAAUUGUACGAGCAACAUCGCAUGAUUACUUGUUUAUUAUUAGCAUGACAAAAUUGGAUACGUACUUCUCAAUGCCAACAUCAUAUUCUC